AACUGAAAAUGAAGAGAAAAAGAUGACAAGGUUAGAACCCCAAACCACUGAAACUCAAGGAGCAAGCUCACAGAGCAGCAGGCUAAGGUGGCAAAGGCCGAGCCCCAGGGCGCCGACGAACUGAGCGUCUGUUUUCCCUGAGAUGCCCUGGAGAACAGAGACGUGACACCCCCCCCCCCUUCUCUGACGAGGCUCAGCAGACCUACACAGUGACAGGAUUCCCUCUGCACUUCAUGUGACAGGAACACUAGGUUCACUGGUCACCAAGCAGAAAACCAUUUCAGCAAUAGAAGUCGGGCGGAACACAGAGCCGCACACACGGCCAGAGGCUGACAGCAGACAAAUCACAGGCUGGCUUCCGGCACUGCCGACAAGACACCCCAGGGCACCCGGUGCAAGCCCCAGAUGCGCCUAGGGACAGGCUGAGCAACUGACGUGACGGGCACAGGAACUCGAGCUCCAGCUGUGGCUUCACACUGCUCUCAGAGAGGCACUCAUCCUUGUUUUACUCUGAAACCCCCUGCUGCCUGCUAAUGCUACAGCCACAUGUUUCACGUCAGGUGUCACGUACGUGGAACCUGUGAGAAUUCUUAGCAUGUCAGGUGUAACAACCAGAAUUGACCACGCCCACCUUCCCACCUCAGGCUUCCGCCAGAGUCCGUGGUCACGUCUGUGACGGUCUAGGACGCACUGAGCACUCAGAGCUGAGAGCACACUGCUACCUGAAUGGAAUGGGACCAGUAUCCUGUGGUCCUCGUGGAAAUCCCCAGCGUAGAGACGGCGUGAUGGGCGUACACUUUCGGCGAAGGCACCAACCAGGGG